AUUUGAGAAACACUGCUCUAAACAAUUCUGUUUCAGAGGUCAGCAGAAAACUCCUCUGACUUCAUGAUUUUUGUGCUCCGACAUGUGCCGUCAACUAUGGACCUUAUAUAGAUAGUUUGACAACAAUCUAAAACAAAGUGUUAAAAGCAAUAAUGCACUUACAUUCAGUUGAUUUUUAUUGGUGAUAUUUGCAGAAAGGCCACUGUCCUUGUACCGUCCGUCUAUGAUUCUAGUGGUUAAAUGCCAGAGAGCUCUGUCCAAGACCCAGGCUGGACGUAGAUGGGGAGUGUUCACCAGGUUGUAACCA